CAGUCGCCACGGGAAUACGAAGGGUGCAAGCGUUACUCGGAAUUACUGGGCGUAAAGCGUGCGUAGGUGGUGGUUUAAGUCCGUUGUGAAAGCCCUGGGCUCAACCUGGGAAUUGCAGUGGAUACUGGGUCACUAGAGUGUGGUAGAGGAUAGUGGAAUUUCCGGUGUAGCAGUGAAAUGCGUAGAGAUCGGAAGGAACAUCUGUGGCGAAGGCGACUAUCUGGGCCAACACUGACACUGAGGCACGAAAGCGUGGGGAGCAAACAGGAUUAGAUACCCCUGUAGUCCCUGUCUCUUAUAC
rnacentral:rRNA from 1 species